GUGCUUGCUUCAGCACAUAUACUGAAAUUGGAAUGAUACAAAGAGGAUUAGCAUGUCCUUUGUGUAAAGAUGAUACACAAUUCAUAAAAGUACUUUUAUCAUUAU